rnacentral:lncRNA from 1 species
GGGUGGGGCUGGCCAACUUCGACCGCCGGACUCGGAAUGGCGCGAGACUUUGCGAACGGCCUCCAUGUGCAAACAAUAGGCCGCGGGCACAGCCGCACCCAAAAAUAACCGCCAGAAGGCCGGGGCACCAAGUUCGUCCGGCGGAAAUAGGCCGCAAACAUGGGUGGGCUAUAGCCUUGGGGGUUGGGACGGGCCAACUUCGUCCGCCGGACUCGGAAUGGCGCGAGACUUUGCGAGCGGCCUCCGUGUGCCAAAAAUAGGCCGUGGGCACAGCCGCGCCCAAAAAUAACCGCCCGAAGGCCGGGGCGCCAAGUUCGUCCAGCGGAAAAAGGCCACACAAAACGGGUGGGCUAUAGCCUUGGGGGGUGGGGCUGCCCAACUUCGUCCGCCGGACUCGGAAUGGCUCGAGACUUUGCGAGCGGCCUCCGUGUACCAAAAAUAGGCCGCGGGCACAGCCGCCCCCAAAAAUAACCACCCGAAGGCCGGGUCGCCAAUUCGUCCAGCGGAAAAAGGCCACAAAAACGGGUGGGCUAUAGCCUUGGGGGGUGGGGCUGGCCAACUUCGUCCACCGGACUCGAAAUGGUGCGAGACUUUGCGAGCGGCCUCCGUGUGCCAAAAAUAGGCCGCGGACACAGCCGCACCGAAAAAUAACUGCCCGGAGGGCCGGGGCGCCAAGUUCGUCCAGCGGAAAAAGGCCACACAAAACGGCUGGGCUAUAGCGUUGGGGGGUGGGGCUGGCCGACUUCGUCCGCCGGACUCGGAAUGGCGCGAGACAUUGCGAGCGGCCUCCGUGUGCCAAAAAUAGGCCGCGGACACAGCCGCACCCAAAAAAAACCGCCCGAAGGCCGGGGCGCCAAGUUCGCCCAGCGGAAAAAGGCCACAAAAAUGGGUGGGGUAUAGCCUUGGGGGGUGGGGCUGGCCAACUUCGACCGCCGGACUCGGAAUGGCGCGAGACUUUGCGAACGGCCUCCAUGUGCAAACAAUAGGCCGCGGGCACAGCCGCACCCAAAAAUAACCGCCAGAAGGCCGGGGCACCAAGUUCGUCCGGCGGAAAUAGGCCGCAAACAUGGGUGGGCUAUAGCCUUGGGGGUUGGGACGGGCCAACUUCGUCCGCCGGACUCGGAAUGGCGCGAGACUUUGCGAGCGGCCUCCGUGUGCCAAAAAUAGGCCGUGGGCACAGCCGCGCCCAAAAAUAACCGCCCGAAGGCCGGGGCGCCAAGUUCGUCCAGCGGAAAAAGGCCACACAAAACGGGUGGGCUAUAGCCUUGGGGGGUGGGGCUGCCCAACUUCGUCCGCCGGACUCGGAAUGGCUCGAGACUUUGCGAGCGGCCUCCGUGUACCAAAAAUAGGCCGCGGGCACAGCCGCCCCCAAAAAUAACCACCCGAAGGCCGGGUCGCCAAUUCGUCCAGCGGAAAAAGGCCACAAAAACGGGUGGGCUAUAGCCUUGGGGGGUGGGGCGGGCCAACUUCGUCCGCCGGACUCGGAACGGCGCGGGACUAUGCGAGCAGCCUCCAUGUGCCACACAUAGGCCACGGGCACAGCCGCACCCAAAAAUAACCGCCCGAAGGCCGGGGCGCCAAGUUCGUCCAGCGGAAAAAGGCCACAAAAACGGGUGGGGUAUAGCCUUGGGGGGUGGGGCUGGCCAACUUCGACCGCCGGACUCGGAAUGGCGCGAGACUUUGCGAACGGCCUCCAUGUGCAAACAAUAGGCCGCGGGCACAGCCGCACCCAAAAAUAACCGCCCGAAGGCCGGGGCACCAAGUUCGUCCGGCGGAAAUAGGCCGCAAACAUGGGUGGGCUAUAGCCUUGGGGGUUGGGACGGGCCAACUUCGUCCGCCGGACUCGGAAUGGCGCGAGACUUUGCGAGCGGCCUCCGCGUGCCAAAAAUAGGCCGCGGGCACACCCUCGCCCAAAAAUAACGGCCCGGAGGGCCGGGGCACCAAGUUCAUCCAGCGGAAAAAGGCCACACAAAACGGGUGGGCUGUAGCCUUGGGGGGUGGGGCUGGCCGACUUCAUCCGCCGGACUCGGAAUGGCGCGAGACUUUGCGAGCGGCCUCCGUGUGCCAAAAAUAGGCCGCGGACACAGCCACGCUAAAAAAUAACCGCCCUAAGGCCGGGGCGCCAAGUUCGUCCAGCGGAAAAAGGCCACAAAAACGGGUGGGCUAGCCUUGGGGGGUGGGGCUGGCCGACUUCGUCCGCCGGACUCGGAAUGGCGCGAGACUUUGUGAGCGGCCUCCGUGUGCCAAAAAUAGGCUGCGGGCACAGACGCUCCCAAAAAUAACCGCCCGA